AGGAAUGUAUAGCAAUAGCUAGUUGCAUCAUUGUAAAGAUGAUGCAAGAUUGACUAUGUUGAAUAAAAUUCUAGGUAGAGUUAUGAUAAUGACAUUUUCUGCCUAUGUGUCUUGACCAAAUUACGUGCCAGCAGUCGCGGUAAUACGUAGAAGACUAGUGUUAUUCAUGUUUUCGGUUUAAAGGGUACCUAGACGGCAGAUCAAGCUUUCCGAGAGAAAAAAAAAUAAAAAGAAAAAGGACUAAUUUGCUAGAGUUACUUACGAGGGGGUUUUAAAGUACUGCUGGUGUAGAGAUGAAAUUCUGUCAUACCUCUUUUCGAAAGAAAAAUAAUGGCACAGGUAUAGGCGAAGGCAUCCCCUUAUGUGAUAACUGACGUUGAGGGACGAAGGCUUUAUAUAACGAACAGGAUUAGGUACCCUAGUAGUGGAAGCAGUAAAUGAUGAAUGUCAUAGAUUAGAUUAGUUUAUUCUAUAAAUGAAAGUGUAAGCAUUCCACCUCCUGAGUAAUUUGGCAACAUUGGAAUUGAAAUCAUUAGACCGUUUCUGAAACCAGUAGUGAAGUAUGUUGUUUAAUUUGAUGAUCCGCAAAAAACCUUACCACAAUUUGAAUAUUUAUAUUAUAUUUAUUGUUUUUUUAUUAAAGAGACAAUAAGAUAUAUUUACUAGCGUUGCACGGCUGUCUUCAGUUAAUGUCGCGAGAUUUUGGUUAGAUCCAUUAAAUUAACGUAAACCCUUACUUUAUUUUU
rnacentral:rRNA from 1 species